GUAGUCUCGCACAGAUGCAUAUCAAUAAGCGGAGGAAAAGAAACUAACAAGGAUUCCCCUAGUAACGGCGAGUGAAGCGGGAAGAGCUCAAAUUUGAAAUCUUAAAGGGUUUCCCUUUACGAAUUGUAGUUUAAAGAAGUGUUUUCUGUUGAGGUUUUGGUAAAAGUUCUUUGGAAUAGGACAUCAUAGAGGGUGAGAAUCCCGUAUUUGACCUUUACUUUCAACUUUGUGAUACACUUUCAAAGAGUCGGAUUGUUUGGGAAUGCAGUCCAAAAUGGGUGGUAAAUUUCAUCUAAAGCUAAAUAUUGGCGAGAGACCGAUAGCGAACAAGUACCGUGAGGGAAAGAUGAAAAGAACUUUGAAAAGAGAGUUAAACAGUACGUGAAAUUGUCAAAAGGGAAGCGUUUGACACCAGUGUUGUUUUUCUGAAAAUCAAUUAAAGAACUGUUUAUGCUAAGUUGUUUAGACUUUAUCAGCUAACUGUUUAGUUUUGAGCUUUUCUCUAAUGCACUUUUCAGUUAACAAGUCAACAUCAAUUUCUUUUGCUGUAAAAAAGCUUGAGGAAGGUGGCUUGAGAUUCGUCUUAAGUGUAUAUAGCCUCUUGCCUAUGCAGUCGGAGAGAUUGAGGUCUGCAGCGUAGAUCCUUCGGGGCUAAAUGCAUUUGUGCUAAGUUAUAGCAUUUUAUAGACAACUUGUUGACUAUGAUUUGUCUUGUAGCUUACUCGCUUAUGUUAUUUUACCUACGCUUAGGAUGUUGAAGACUCUACAGAGAU
rnacentral:rRNA from 1 species